GAUGAACGCUGGCGGCGUGCUUAAUACAUGCAAGUCGAACGGAGCACUAGAAAUAGUACUUAGUGGCGAACGGGUGAGUAACGCGUUGGUGACCUGCACCGAAGACUGGGAUAACAGUUCGAAAGGACUGCUAAUACCGGAUGAGAUUACGCUGGUUAGAGUGGGGUAAUGAAAGGCGAAAGCCGCUUUGGGAGGGGCCUGCGUCCCAUCAGCUAGUUGGUAAGGUAAAGGCUUACCAAGGCGAAGACGGGUAGGGGACCUGAGAGGGUGGCCCCCCACACUGGCACUGAAACACGGGCCAGACACCUACGGGUGGCAGCAGUAGGGAAUAUUGCACAAUGGGCGAAAGCCUGAUGCAGCAACGCCGCGUGCGCGAUGAAGGCCUUCGGGUUGUAAAGCGCUUUUCGGGGAGAUGAGGAAGGACAGUAUCCCCGGAAUAAGGCUCGGCUAACUACGUGCCAGCAGCCGCCGUAACAC
rnacentral:rRNA from 1 species